UACGUAGGGGGCAAGCAUUGUCCGGAAUUAUUGGGCGUAAAGAGCGCGUAGGCGGUCUGAUAAGUCGGUUGUGAAAGUCGGGGGCUCAACCCUCGGAUGCCGAUCGAUACUGUCAGGCUAGAGUCCGGAAGAGGCGAGUGGAAUUCCUGGUGUAGCGGUGAAAUGCGCAGAUAUCAGGAGGAACACCAAUGGCGAAGGCAGCUCGCUGGGACGGUACUGACGCUGAGGCGCGAAAGCGUGGGGAGCAAACAGG
rnacentral:rRNA from 1 species